UUGCUGACUAUAUACAAAUAAUGUUUGU
rnacentral:sRNA from 1 species